CUAGAGAUUCGAGAUCUUCGUCGAGUUUUCUUCGAAUCCAGAUUCUCAGGUUGAGGAUUCCGAUCAGAGUUAGAGGGCGUUGCUCGUGCUUGGUGUAGCACACUUUUUGGAUCAUGGCUGGAAGGGCUAACAAUCAGAUGGCAGAUGCGAUAGCUACUUUGACCAACAUCGUGGCUAGAGAUCAUCAACCCGGGAGGGAAGAUGAGAUGAGGUUAGAGAGAUUCAUGAGGCAUAAUCCGACACUUUUCACUGGAGGCUAUGCUCCAGAUGCUGCUGUUAAGUGGGUAGAGGAAGUUGAGAUUGUCUUUGAGGCUAUGAGGUGU